CCUGAACGAGACUCAUGUUUGAAUGGCACCCGUGCAGUACCGUCAAGCUCACGUUGGGGGGCAGCAGCAAGCACGAGCAUACAAAAACAACAACAACAACAACAACAAAGCACCGAAGAAUUUGGCCCCUUCCCAGCAGCGAAAGUGAUGAUGCCAAAAUGCGUGAGUGAGGUGCUUCCUGUUUGGAAGCGAGCCGGUCUUCAUUUGGAAGCACAUACCUCGGGUCAAAGGUGUUGUCGCGCGGCGCGGCGUCGGGGCCCUUUUCGCCGCGCACGCCACUCCGGCAACGGCGGCUGCCUGCCUGCCUGCCUGCGCUUCCCUCCGAGCGGCUCGCCGUCAGCCGUCACUUGGGCGGCGAGAGCGGAUCCCCUUACGGCGUCUUUGUGUCGCCAUUGUGCCGCCCGGAGAGCCGGCUCCUUUCGGAAUGCCAGGUGCCAGCGGAGCUCAAGAGGGGACGCAGAUUCACAGGGACCAAAAAAACAGGGCAGAAGAACCACAUGAUUCCAUUCAAUAAACAAGAUCAAAGUCAU